rnacentral:rRNA from 1 species
AUUGAACGCUGGCGGAAUGCUUUACACAUGCAAGUCGAACGGCAGCACGGGAGCUUGCUCCUGGUGGCGAGUGGCGAACGGGUGAGUAAUGCGUCGGAACGUACCGAGUAAUGGGGGGAUAACGCAGCGAAAGCUGUGCUAAUACCGCAUACGCCCUGAGGGGGAAAGUGGGGGAGUCGCAAGACCUCACGUUAUUCGAGCGGCCGACGUCUGAUUAGCUAGUUGGUGGGGUAAAGGCCUACCAAGGCGACGAUCAGUAGCGGGUCUGAGAGGAUGAUCCGCCACACUGGAACUGAGACACGGUCCAGACUCCUACGGGAGGCAGCAGUGGGGAAUUUUGGACAAUGGGGGCAACCCUGAUCCAGCCAUUCCGCGUGAGUGAAGAAGGCC